AUGAGCCAGAGAGUGGAGGAGAUGAACGAGCAGAAUCAGACUAUGGCCGAUCUGAUGAAGCAGCUGCUCGCGAAGUUCAAGGAUUUGAAGGGGGCGGUGGCGGAGUUGAAAGAGGAGCAAGCCCAGACAAAGGCGGCCAUGGAAGCAGCACAGAUCAAUGGGGGCGGCGGUGCGUCCACGUCGCCGGAGGGGCCGGCCACCGUCGACAUCAGGACGGCCUCGACCAGGGGGCCGCCGCCCGCAAGCAACCAGGACGCGGGGCCUGGGGUCGAGCAGCCGGAGAUCGACUGCGGAGGAGUGAGCGCUCCAUCUCCAAGGGCUGCACCGGUGCCGUCCACGCACCUGCUGCGCCCGCAUCAGGAUCGAGCCGCCGCCGACCACUACCACCUCGGGCGUGCUGGAUUCGGGUCAAGUGACCGCCGCGACGCCCAUCUCUUCCGGGGUGAUGCUCCUGGGCUCUUGGGAGCCGGGAUGCGUGCCCCGGUCACAGGUGCACCCAAUCAUAGUGUCUCAAUUCCGGGUCGCAAUUUUGGGGGAGGAGAGCAUGGGUAUGAAGAUGAUAGGACAUAUCGUGAGCAUUGGGGGCGUCCACCAGGAUCGCACACACCCAAAAUGGAAUUCCCUAAGUUUGAUGGGGGAAAUCCUAAGCUCUGGCAGCAACAAUGUGAAGUUUAUUUUGAGUUGUUUAGAGUCCAGGAGAGCUUCAAAACUCGCUAUGGUAUGCUGAACUUUCGGGGUACAGCUGCCUUGUGGUGGCAGAAUGUUGAAGCCCAGGGCCGCAUAGAUAAUUGGCCAACUAUGUGCAGUUUGGUGCAGGAGAAGUUUGGGAAGAACAAGUAUGCCAAUUACCGUAGACAAUUGCAUGCUCUUAGGCAAACUGGUAGUGUAGCUGAGUACUAUGAGCAUUUUGAGCAACUAAGGCCUCAAUUUUGCUUUACAAUUCCAACUUAG
rnacentral:rRNA from 1 species